GAUGAACGCUAGCGACAGGCCUAACACAUGCAAGUCGAGGGGCAGCACGGUGUAGCAAUACACGGGUGGCGACCGGCGCACGGGUGAGUAACGCGUAUGCAACCUGCCUACUACAAGGGGAUAACCCGUUGAAAGACGGACUAAUACCCUAUAACACAGGGAAUCCGCAUGGAUAUAUUUGUUAAAGAUUUAUCGGUAGUAGAUGGGCAUGCGUUCCAUUAGCUUGUUGGUGAGGUAACGGCUCACCAAGGCAACGAUGGAUAGGGGAACUGAGAGGUUGAUCCCCCACACUGGAACUGAGACACGGUCCAGACUCCUACGGGAGGCAGCAGUGAGGAAUAUUGGUCAAUGGGACAGAGUCUGAACCAGCCAAGUCGCGUGAAGGAAGACGGCCCUACGGGUUGUAAACUUCUUUUGUAAGGGAAUAAAUAGUCUUACGCGCUAAGACGUUGCAGGUACCUUACGAAUAAGGAUCGGCUAACUCCGUGCCAGCAGCCGCGGUAAAAGUC
rnacentral:rRNA from 1 species